AGGGUGUAAGCUUGGUGGCGGGCUGUCUCUGGAUGUUGGCAUAUCUCUGACAUCGAUCACACUUUCUGACGUAUUCAAUCGAGUCAUGAUGCAUCGUCGGCCAGUAAUAUCCUUGGCGGAGCAACUUGUGGGAUAAAGAUCUAGCCCCCAGAUGGCUUCCGCAGAUUCCUUCAUGCACCUCCCAUAAGGCGUAGUCAGCUUCCGAAGGCUGGAGACAUUUUAAAAGGGGC
rnacentral:lncRNA from 1 species